AUAGCGCUUAAGCGCGAA
rnacentral:snRNA from 1 species